CACUGCCUGCCCAGUGACACACGUUCAACGGCCGCGGUACCCUGACCGUGCAAAGGUAGCAUAAUCACUUGUUCUUUAAAUAAGGACUCGUAUGAAUGGCACCACGAGGGUUUAACUGUCUCUUGCUUUUAACCAGUGAAAUUGACCUGUCCGUGAAGAGACGGACAUAAAGCAAUAAGACGAGAAGACCCUGUGGAGCUUCAAUUUAUUAGUACAACUAAAAACCACACAAACCAACAGGCCCCUAAACUCCUAUAUCUGUACUAAAAAUUUCGGUUGGGGUGACCUCGGAGUACAACUAAACCUCCGAAUAAUCCAUGCCAAGACCACACAAGUCAAAGCGAACACACUUACAAUUGACCCAAUAAUUUGAUCAGCGGAACAAGUUACCCCAGGGAUAACAGCGCAAUUCUAUUCUAGAGUCCAUAUCGACAAUAGAGUUUACGACCUCGAUGUUGGAUCAGGAUAUCCUAAUGGUGCAGCAGCUAUCAAGGG
rnacentral:rRNA from 1 species